CGCGUAGGUGGUUUGGUCAGUCAGAUGUGAAAGCCCGGCUCAACCUGGGAAUUGCACCUGAUACUGCCAGGCUAGAGUACGGUAGAGGGUAGUGGAAUUUCCGGUGUAGCGGUGAAAUGCGUAGAGAUCGGAAGGAACACCAGUGGCGAAGGCGACUACCUGGACCGAUACUGACACUGAGGUGCGAAAGCGUGGGUAGCAAACA
rnacentral:rRNA from 1 species